rnacentral:rRNA from 1 species
GACGUAGGGCGCGAGCGUUGUCCGGAUUUAUUGGGCGUAAAGAGCUCGUAGGCGGCUUGUCACGUCGGGUGUGAAAGCCCGGGGCUUAACCCCGGGUCUGCAUUCGAUACGGGCAGGCUAGAGUGUGGUAGGGGCAACUGGAAUUCUCGGUGUAGCGGUGAAAUGCGUAGAUAUCGAGAGGAACACCUGCGGCGAAGGCGGGUUGCUGGGCUGACACUGACGCUGAUGCGCGAAAGCUAGGGGAGCGAACGGG